GUCUGGUGAUGGGCGCAGGCUUCAAACCUGUGGGGGCUUAACGGCCCAGUUGUUCGAUUCCACCUUGC
rnacentral:tRNA from 14 species